GUAGGUGGCAAGCGUUGUCCGGAAUUAUUGGGCGUAAAGCGCGCGCAGGUGGUUCUUUAAGUCUGAUGUGAAAGCCCCCGGGCUCAACCGGGGAGGGUCAUUGGAAACUGGGGAACUUGAGUGCAGGAGAGGAGAGUGGAAUUCCACGUGUAGCGGUGAAAUGCGUAGAUAUGUGGAGGAACACCAGUGGCGAAGGCGACUUUCUGGCCUGUAACUGACACUGAGGCGCGAAAGCGUGGGGAGCAAACAGGAUUAGAUACCCUGGUAGUCCACGCCGUAAACGAUGAGUGCUAAGUGUUGGGGGGUUUCCGCCCCUCAGUGCUGCAGCUAACGCAUUAAGCACUCCGCCUGGGGAGUACGGUCGCAAGACUG
rnacentral:rRNA from 1 species